rnacentral:tRNA from 1 species
AGGCCCGUAGUGUAGCUUGGAUAUCAUAGUGGCUUGCGGAGCCGCAGACCCGGAUUCAAAUUCCGGCGGGCCUG